rnacentral:pre_miRNA from 1 species
AGUGGGAUAACUGGGUCAAAUGGUGGUUCCAUUCAUUCUAAGUUUUCUGAGGAAUCUCCAUACUGCUUUCCAGAGUGGUUGCACCAAUUUGCAGUCCCACCAGCAAU